rnacentral:rRNA from 1 species
UUUGCUCUUUAAAAAUCUGGAUCAAGCUGAAAAUUGAAACACUGAACAACGAAAGUUGUUCGUGAGUCUCUCAAAUUUUCGCAACACGAUGAUGAAUCGAAAGAAACAUCUUCGGGUUGUGAGGUUAAGCGACUAAGCGUACACGGUGGAUGCCCUGGCAGUCAGAGGCGAUGAAGGACGUGCUAAUCUGCGAUAAGCGUCGGUAAGGUGAUAUGAACCGUUAUAACCGGCGAUUUCCGAAUGGGGAAACCCAGUGUGUUUCGACACACUAUCAUUAACUGAAUCCAUAGGUUAAUGAGGCGAACCGGGGGAACUGAAACAUCUAAGUACCCCGAGGAAAAGAAAUCAACCGAGAUUCCCCCAGUAGCGGCGAGCGAACGGGGAGCAGCCCAGAGCCUGAAUCAGUGUGUGUGUUAGUGGAAGCGUCUGG